rnacentral:rRNA from 1 species
AGGACGAACGCUGGCGGCGUGCUUAACACAUGCAAGUCGAGCGCCCGUAGCAAUACGGGAGCGGCAGACGGGAGAGUAACACGUGGGAACGCGCCCUUCGGUUCGGAAUAACUCAGGGAAACUUGAGCUAAUACCGGAUACGCCCUUACGGGGAAAGAUUUAUUGCCGAAGGAACGGCCCGCGUCCGAUUAGCUAGUUGGUGAGGUAAUGGCUCACCAAGGCGACGAUCGGUAGCUGGUCUGAGAGGAUGACCAGCCUCACUGGGACUGAGACACGGCCCAGACUCCUACGGGAGGCAGCAGUGGGGAAUAUUGGACAAUGGGCGCAAGCCUGAUCCAGCCAUGCCGCGUGGAUGAUGAAGGCCUUAGGGUUGUAAAGUCCUUUAACGGGAAGAUAAGUGACGGUACCGUAGAAUAAGCCCGGCUAACUUCGUGCCAGCAGCCGC